rnacentral:tRNA from 1 species
UAUUAGGAUGGGCCCUAGAAAGUCCCGAAAGCA